rnacentral:rRNA from 1 species
GGUGAACGCUGGCGGCGUGCUUAAGACAUGCAAGUCGAACGGCAGUCUUCGGACUGUAGUGGCGCACGGGUGAGUAACGCGUAACUGACCUACCCCAAAGUCGCGGAUAACGAUUCGAAAGAAUCGCUAAUACGUGAUGUGCUGUCAGAUUGUGUUCUGCCAGUAAAGAUUGAUUGCUUUGGGAUGGGGUUGCGUUCCAUCAGCUAGUUGGUGGGGUAAAGGCCCACCAAGGAGACGACGGAUAGCCGGCCUGAGAGGGUUGCCGGCCACAGGGGCACUGAGACACGGGUCCCACUCCAGCGGGAGGCAGCAGUUAGGAAUGUUCCAACAGGGGCGAAAGCCUGGUGGGGCGACGCAGCGUGAGGGAUGAAGGUCUUCGGAUCGUAAACCUCUGAAUCAGGGACGAAAGACACUUCGGUGGGAUGACGGUACCUGAGUAAUAGCACCGGCUAACUCCGUGCCAGCAGCCGCGGUAACAC